GAUGAACGCUGGCGGCGUGCCUAAUACAUGCAAGUCGAGCGAACAGACGAGGAGCUUGCUCCUUUGACGUUAGCGGCGGACGGGUGAGUAACACGUGGAGAACCUACCUAUAAGACUGGGAUAACUUCGGGAAACCGGAGCUAAUACCGGAUAACAUGUUGAACCGCAUGGUUCAACAGUGAAAGACGGUCUUGCUGUCACUUAUAGAUGGAUCCGCGCCGCAUUAGCUAGUUGGUAAGGUAACGGCUUACCAAGGCAACGAUGCGUAGCCGACCUGAGAGCGUGAUCGGCCACACUGGAACUGAGACACGGUCCAGACUCCUACGGGAGGCAGCAGCAGGGAAUCUUCCGCAAUGGGCGAAAGCCUGACGGAGCAACGCCGCGUGAGUGAAGAAGGUCUUCGGCUCGUAAAACUCUGUUAUUAGGGAAGAACAAAUGUGUCAGUAACUAUGCACGUCUUGACGGUACCUAAUCAGAAAGCCACGGCUAACUACGUG
rnacentral:rRNA from 1 species